CUACGGGUCGCUGCAGUGGGGAAUAUUGGACAAUGGGGGAAACCCUGAUCCAGCAAUGCCGCGUGUGUGAAGAAGGCCUGCGGGUUGUAAAGCACUUUCGGUUGGGAGGACUGCUUCUAGCACUAAUAUUGUUGGAAGUUGACGUUACCUUCAGAAGAAGCACCGGCUAACUCCGUGCCAGCAGCCGCGGUAAUAGCGGAGGGUGCAAGCGUGAAUCGGAAUUACUGGGCGUAAAGCGCGCGUAGGCGGCUAGAUCAGUCGGGUGUGAAAGCCCCGGGCGUAACCUGGGAACUGCAUCCGAUACUGGCUAGCUUGGGUACAGGAGAGGAGAGUGGAAUUCCACAUGUAGCGGUGAAAUGCGUAGAUAUGUGGAGGAACACCAAUGGCGAAGGCAGCUCUCUGGCCUGAUACUGACGCUGAGGUGCGAAAGCGUGGGGAGCAAACAGGAUUAGAUACCCCUGUAGUC
rnacentral:rRNA from 1 species